UGGCGAACGGGUGAGUAACACGUGGGCAAUCUGCCCUGCACUCUGGGACAAGCCCUGGAAACGGGGUCUAAUACCGGAUAUGACCAUCUUGGGCAUCCUUGAUGGUGUAAAGCUCCGGCGGUGCAGGAUGAGCCCGCGGCCUAUCAGCUUGUUGGUGAGGUAAUGGCUCACCAAGGCGACGACGGGUAGCCGGCCUGAGAGGGCGACCGGCCACACUGGGACUGAGACACGGCCCAGACUCCUACGGGAGGCAGCAGUGGGGAAUAUUGCACAAUGGGCGAAAGCCUGAUGCAGCGACGCCGCGUGAGGGAUGACGGCCUUCGGGUUGUAAACCUCUUUCAGCAGGGAAGAAGCGAAAGUGACGGUACCUGCAGAAGAAGCGCCGGCUAACUACGUGCCAGCAGCCGCGGUAAUACGUAGGGCGCAAGCGUUGUCCGGAAUUAUUGGGCGUAAAGAGCUCGUAGGCGGCUUGUCACGUCGAUUGUGAAAGCUCGGGGCUUAACCCCGAGUCUGCAGUCGAUACGGGCUAGCUAGAGUGUGGUAGGGGAGAUCGGAAUUCCUGGUGUAGCGGUGAAAUGCGCAGAUAUCAGGAGGAACACCGGUGGCGAAGGCGGAUCUC
rnacentral:rRNA from 1 species